UGAGGAAUAUUGCACAAUGGGCGCAAGCCUGAUGCAGCGACGCCGCGUGGGUGAAGAAGGUUUUCGGAUCGUAAAACCCUUUUCUGUGUGACGAGCAAGGACGGUAGCACAGGAAUAAGUCUCGGCUAACUACGUGCCAGCAGCCGCGGUAAAACGUAGGAGACAAACGUUAUCCGGAGUUACUGGGCGUAAAGGGCGUGUAGGUGGUUUUGUAAGUCUGGCGUGAAAUUUUUCGGCUUAACCGGGAAAGGUCGUCGGAUACUGCGGAACUGGAGGACGGUAGAGGCGUGUGGAAUUCCGGGUGUAGUGGUGAAAUGCGUAGAGAUCCGGAGGAACACCAGUGGCGAAGGCGACACGCUGGGCCGUACCUGACACUGAUGCGCGACAGCAUGGGGAGCAAAC
rnacentral:rRNA from 1 species